UGCGUCAUGGCAGACUUACAACGUGGUGUGGUCGACUUCUAAUCAAUGGGACGGCCUGUAUUUUUAGGAGGUUGUGUGCUUAGGCUGUGUUCUUAUCGGAUCUACGCCCGUUAGUCCUGUCAUUGGAGAGCGAUGUCUGCGUAAACCCAUUCACCGCGGCCGGCACGACUUUGUCGCGAUCACGUCUGAAGUUCUUGUUUUGUCAAGUUCACUAAGACGAGGAGGAAUAGACUCCUGUCACAUGGUGGAACUGGAAGUCAGUCUGUAGGUGGGACCCUGGCCUUGUUGGUACCUUAGCUGUUCCUGUAGGGAGGCAGAAGAUGGUGCACCAGUGCCAAGUUCAUGGUCACAGCAACAGGUCCUUCCCACUCUGGCUGCUGCUGUACCUGGCAGGUCAAAAGGCUUUGAACUUCUAACAUCAGUCAGCCACCCCCCACCUGGUAAUGGCGUCCAUAUCAGGUCAUCCAUCAUGGAAUGAACAGCCAGCGUCAGCGGACAUGUUUACACUACCCCAUCCUCAGACGGACUGACAGAACACAAUGAAAAAGCUGACAGACCAGCCCUAUUACCCAUCCUCCCUGGUAGGGGUGAGAAGACGGCCCAACUUUGGAGAUCUCUCUGGAAG